AGCGAACGCUGGCGGCAGGCCUAACACAUGCAAGUCGAACGGAUCCUUCGGGAUUAGUGGCGGACGGGUGAGUAACACGUGGGAACGUGCCCUUUGGUUCGGAACAACUCAGGGAAACUUGAGCUAAUACCGGAUGUGCCCUUCGGGGGAAAGAUUUAUCGCCAUUGGAGCGGCCCGCGUCUGAUUAGCUAGUUGGUGAGGUAAAGGCUCACCAAGGCGACGAUCAGUAGCUGGUCUGAGAGGAUGAUCAGCCACAUUGGGACUGAGACACGGCCCAAACUCCUACGGGAGGCAGCAGUGGGGAAGCUUGCGCAAUGGGCGAAAGCCUGACGCAGCCAUGCCGCGUGAAUGAUGAAGGUCUUAGGAUUGUAAAAUUCUUUCACCGGGGACGAUAAUGACGGUACCCGGAGAAGAAGCCCCGGCUAACUACGUGCCAGCCGCCGCAGUAACAC
rnacentral:rRNA from 1 species